ACUGAGGCUAUUGGGAUAUAGGCUGGCGACCGUUGGGGACAAAGGGGUGUGGCUGGGAACGAAUGACUAUUGGGGAUAGGCUACGGGCGGUCAAAAGCUAACUGGUGAACCUUAGGGGCAUAUUGGGAGCUGUUGGGGGUUGGGGAGGCUUGGCAGGUGACCGUUGGGGACGGGUUAGGAACUCUUAAGACCAGUCUGGAGACACUGGGAGCUGGUUGGGUUGGGGCCACUAGGAAUGCAUGGGACCCGGAGAGAGGCCAAGGGUGAGUCCAGGACGACGGAGGCCAGAAACUGGGAGGCAAGGAGCAGGCGCAGUGGAGACACAUACUCACUAGAAAGUCCUACCUCCACCCAACCUGGAACCACGUAGGGUGAGGACCAAUCCAACUUCCUACCCAACUGAAGAGCUAGAGCUGAUGGGCGAGAACAUCCAGGGCCCUGAGUACCAGGUCUGGGACUCAACAAAGCCCAACCAGCAUGGGGCUCACAUAGUCUCCAAGUCCCGGAACCCGCCUGCGCAGAUCCAGGAGGCCCCUGCGAAUGGGCUGCUGCAUCCACAGAAGCAUGAAGCCUUGGGUUGGACUCAGUUUCCCAUCAUACUGUGGAUGUUUCCAGACCUGUAUGAACAUAGGCUACAGUAUUAGAGGUCUCUGACUACUGAUGCGCUCUGUGAACGACAAUCCAGGUAGCCUGAGCCAGCUACGUGCCUUGUUCCCUACCCCGGAGUCCUCAGUGGUGCUCCGUGUCAGGUGAGCAGCGCGGCCGUUGUGACUGACAGAAUACAAUUGGAGAGUGAUCGACUGGAUGGUGUUUCUGUAAACCCUGGCUACCUGAACACAAAAACCCAGGCACUGCUCCAAGCUCUUGACUAAGAUCUUCGUGGGAGCCUGGAGGACCACAGGACUGAGGACCAACCUUGUCUGACCCUCAUACCCCAGGGCCUAUACCUGAAAUGCUGCUGCAGACUGAACAUCUGAGUUGAGGAAUUAAUGAGAGGGAUGGUCAGGUUUGCAAGAAUUCUGUCUGCAGUACAGCUCCUGGUGUGCUCCCUACAGAGAAAAUGCUCAGAGUUCAUGCCCUAAAGAGCAUAUCCAGCCCCACAACCCAGGGCUCCCCCACCUCCUCCCCUAAAGAGCAUAUCCAGCCCCACAACCCCAGGGCUCCCCCACCUCCUCCUCUCCCAGGACAGGCUCUACUCCAUCAGAGUUCAUGCCCUAAAGAGCAUAUCCAGCCCCACAACCCCAGGGCUCCCCCACCUCCUCCUCUCCCAGGACAGGCUCUACUCCAUCCUGGCCAAGGGUGGAACAAAAAACUCUGUUCUAGAUCUACCAGUUCCAUGUCUACGGCCAAUGCACAAGAACCAAACUAGUUCUACUAAAUUCCUCUAUGCUUUAUCUUUAGCCUA